rnacentral:misc_RNA from 1 species
CCAAACUUGGUCAUUUAGAGGAAGUAAAAGUCGUAACAAGGUCUCCGUUGGUGAACCAGCGGAGGGAUCAUUACAGAGAGUGAAAAACUCCCUUAACCCUUUGUGAAUCUACCUGAAUUUUUGCUUCGGCAGGUGGUCCCAGGGCGGGACCGUAGCCAGUUUGGCACCUGCCGAAGGCCAUAAAACUCUUGUAUUGUUUGAUGUAUCUGAGCUAUAAAAAAAAUGAAUCAAAACUUUCAACAACGGAUCUCUUGGUUCUGGCAUCGAUGAAGAACGCAGC